rnacentral:rRNA from 1 species
AGGGCACCACCAGGAGUGGAGCCUGCGGCUUGAUUUGACUCAACACGGGAAAACUCACCCGGCCCGGACACUGGAAGGAUUGACAGAUUGAGAGCUCUUUCUUGAUUCAGUGGGUGGUGGUGCAUGGCCGUUCUUAGUUGGUGGAGUGAUUUGUCUGGUUAAUUCCGAUAACGAACGAGACUCUAGCCUACUAAAUAGAUCGUCGGCUUACAAACGCCGGCGAGACUUCUUAGAGGGACAGGCGGUGAUUCAACCGCACGAAACAGAGCAAUAACAGGUCUGUGAUGCCCUUAGAUGUCCGGGGCCGCACGCGCGCUACACUGAAGUGAUCAGCGUGCUUUUUCAACCUACUCUGUCAAGAGUGGGGAACCCAAUGAACCUUCUUCGUGAUUGGGAUAGGGGAUUGUAAUUAUUCCCCUUGAGCGAGGAAUUCCCAGUAAGCGCGAGUCAUAAGCUCGCGUUGAUUACGUCCCUGCCCUUUGUACACACCGCCCGUCGCUACUACCGAUUGAAUGUUUU